rnacentral:tRNA from 1 species
UGGCUCAGCUGGUAAAGUAUGGCGUUUGCAACGCCAAGGUUGUGGGUUGGAUUCCCAC